rnacentral:rRNA from 1 species
CGGGAUAACACCUGGAAACAGAUGCUAAUACCGGAUAACAACAGAUGAUGCCUAUCAACUGUUUAAAAGAUGGUUNUGCUAUCACUCUUGGAUGGACCUGCGGUGCAUUAGCUAGUUGGUAGGGUAACGGCCUACCAAGGCGAUGAUGCAUAGCCGAGUUGAGAGACUGAUCGGCCACAUUGGGACUGAGACACGGCCCAAACUCCUACGGGAGGCAGCAGGA